AGAACGAACGCUGGCGGCAGGCCUCAAACAUGCAAGUCUAGGGGAUGUAGCAAUACAUCACCGGCGGACGGGUGCGUAACACGUGGGAAUAUACCUUUCGGUACGGAACAACUGCGGGAAACUGCAGCUAAUACCGUAUACGUCCUUACGGAGAAAGAUUUAUCGCCGAAGGAUUAGCCCGCGUUCGAUUAGCUAGUUGGUGAGGUAAUGGCUCACCAAGGCGACGAUCGAUAGCUGUUCUGAGAGGAAGAUCAGCCACACUGGGACUGAGACACGGCCCAGACUCCUACGGGAGGCAGCAGUUGGGAAUCUUGGACAAUGGGGGAAACCCUGAUCCAGCCAUGCCGCGUGAGUGAUGAAGGCCUUCGGGUUGUAAAGCUCUUUUACCCGGGAAGAUAAUGACUGUACCGGGAGAAUAAGCUCCGGCUAACUUCGUGUCAGCAGCCGC
rnacentral:rRNA from 1 species